rfam:Ovis aries breed Texel chromosome 9, whole genome shotgun sequence.
UCCCUGGUGGCUCAGAGGUUAAAGCGUCUGCCUCCAAUGCAGGAGACCCGGGUUUGAUCCUUGGGUCGGGAA